CACUAAGGAGAGGAGAUGGUGAGUGCACGUGCGUGUGGUAAUGUCUCUUCUUUUGGAUGUCCUCUCUUUCUCGGGGAGGUGAUUGAGGGAAUUUAGAGGUAGUAAAAGCCAAAACUUCUAUAGAUCUGUACGAGGUCCUAAAGGAGAAGGUGGGGCGUCUUUGAGGACAGGAGAGGGAAGAGACAAGAAGGUUUUAUGUAGGUGGUUCACGACGACGAGGUACUUGCGCCCACGAACAAGGGCCGUUGAAGUUCGUAGAGGUAGGUACGGGAACGCGGUCUUCCAAGGGAAACUACACCGCUUAGGUAAGUCUUUUCUUCCUUGCGUAAGACAGCUAGUGUGCACUUCUUAAAGCGUACACGCACAUGUGACAAGCAGUUCAAGUGGUGUGGCGAGGCAGGUUGAGCCCUCACUGCUGCCACAACCUGUACCUGUCUUUGUCCAAUGGCUUCCUCCUGAGUUGUUACUUC
rnacentral:rRNA from 1 species